GCCCAGACUCCUACGGGAGGCAGCAGUGGGGAAUAUUGCACAAUGGGGGAAACCCUGAUGCAGCGACGCCGCGUGAGUGAAGAAGUAUUUCGGUACGUAAAGCUCUAUCAGCAGGGAAGAAAGAAAGUCCUUUGGACUUUGGACGGUACCUGACCAAGAAGCCCCGGCUAACUACGUGCCAGCAGCCGCGGUAAUACGUAGGGGGCAAGCGUUAUCCGGAAUUAUUGGGCGUAAAGAGUACGUAGGUGGCAACCUAAGCGCAGGGUUUAAGGCAAUGGCUCAACCAUUGUUCGCCCUGCGAACUGGGAUGCUUGAGUGCAGGAGAGGAAAGCGGAAUUCCUAGUGUAGCGGUGAAAUGCGUAGAUAUUAGGAGGAACACCAGUGGCGAAGGCGGCUUACUGGACUGUAACUGACGUUGAGGCUCGAAAGCGUGGGGAGCAAACAGGAUUAGAUCCCCCUGUA
rnacentral:rRNA from 1 species